GUCACAACGCAUGCGACAUAAUACCAACAAAAGGAUUCUAUAUGUACAUGUUGAACCGAAUCAAAUUAUAGUCACAAGGUUUCAAAAGGAAGGUAACAACAUGUACCGCUCUACAAUUAUCAAAAUAAAUAAUACUAAACAUGAUAACCUAAUUCAAAGAGUACAAAUACGAGUCAUACGUAUCAACUCUAAAAUGAAACUAAUAUAUUUAUUUCACAAGAAAUAAUUAUGUGAAAUCAUAAUAGAAUUCGAAAUAAGGAAACAAACGAACAAAUCAAAUUUAACAAAGGUAUCGCUGAAAGAGUACGGAAUCCGUACCUGAUACUUCCAAACCAUUUAUAGCACACUCCACAAAAUCUUACCCUCAAAUGCCAACGAUAUCAAAUACGAAACGCUAUUCAUCACCUAAACAUAUUCACCUCAAAUUAAA
rnacentral:lncRNA from 1 species